GUUGAAUGGUGAAAGCGGAUCAAU
rnacentral:siRNA from 1 species